GAUGAACGCUGACAGAAUGCUUAACACAUUCAUGUCAACUUGAAUUUGGGUUUUUAAGUUAGGUUUGGGUGGCGGACGGGUGAGUAACGCGUAAAGAACUUGCCUCACAGCUAGGGACAACAUUAGGAAACGAAUGCUAAUACCUAAUAUUAUGAUAAUAGGGCAUCCUAUAAUUAUGAAAGCUAUAAGCGCUGUGAGAGAGCUUUGCGUCCCGUCAGCUAGUGGGAGAGGUAACGGCUCACCAAGGCGGUGAUGUGUAGCCGGCCUGAGAGGGUGAUCGGCCACAAGGGGAAUGAGACACGGCCCUUACUCCUACGGGAGGCAGCAGUGGGGAAUAUUGGACAAUGGACCAAGAGUCUGAUCCAGCAAUUCUGUGUGCACGAUGAAGUUUUUCGGAAUGUAAAGUGCUUUCAGUUGGGAAGAAAGAAAUGACGGUACCAACAGAAGAAGUGACGGCUAAAUACGUGCCAGCAGCCGCGGUAAUACGUAUGUCACGAGCGUUAUCCGGAUUUAUUGGGCGUAAAGCGCGUCUAGGUGGUUAUGUAAGUCUGAUGUGAAAAUGCAGGGCUCAACUCUGUAUUGCGUUGGAAACUGUAUAACUAGAGUACAGGAGAGGUAAGCGGAACUACAAGUGUAGAGGUGAAAUUCGUAGAUAUUUGUAGGAAUGCCGAUGGGGAAGCCAGCUUUCUGGACAGAUACUGACGCUGAAGCGCGAAAGCGUGGGUAGCAAACAGG
rnacentral:rRNA from 1 species